rnacentral:rRNA from 1 species
GACAGAGGUCCCGAGCGUUAGGCGGAAUCACUGGGCUUAAAGCGUGCGCAGGCGGCUAUGCAAGACAGAUGUGAAAUCCCCGGGCUCAACCUGGGAACUGCAUUUGUGACUGCAUGGCUAGAGUACGGUAGAGGGGGAUGGAAUUCCGCGUGUAGCAGUGAAAUGCGUAGAUAUGCGGAGGAACACCGAUGGCGAAGGCAAUCCCCUGGACCUGUACUGACGCUCAUGCACGAAAGCGUGGGGAGCAAACAGG